CGCAUCACGUUGAAACAAUUUCCCGUACGAUCACCGAAGUUAAACGUCGAGCCUGGUCAAUACCUAGGUGGGUGACCACCUGGGAACACUAGGUGCUGUAAG